UGGUGGAGCGAUUUGUCUGGUUAAUUCCGUUAACGAACGAGACCUCAGCCUACUAAUUAGUUCAGCCAAUUCCCAUUGGCGCGACUUCUUAGAGGGACUAUCGGUUUUUCAGCCGAGGGAAGUUUGAGGCAAUAACA
rnacentral:rRNA from 1 species